UUUAUUUUGAUUGUAAAGUAGAAUUUAAAUCUGAAGGAAUGAUAGCGGAGUAAGAACAUAUUAUUUAUUUUAUGGACCAGGAUUAGAUACCCUGUUACUUUUAGCUAAAAAAUUUUGGAAUAAUAGUAUUUAUGAAAUUUAACGGAUUUGGCGGCAAGAUAGCCCCUUAGAGGAACCUGCCCUGUAAACGAUGAACCACGAGGACCCUACUUUCUUUGGUGAUCAGUUUGUAUAUCGCUGUUGUCAGUUAGAUUCUUGAGAAUAUUUUCGUGUAUGAAAAUUUCAUUGACUUCAAGUAAAGGUGCAGCUUAUAAGAAAGAUAGAGGUGGGUUACAUUUAUAAGAUUAAAACGGAUAGAAUAUAUGAAAUAUUUUUUGAAGGUGGAUUUAACUGUAAAACUUAAGUAAGUUUGGUGAGAGCUCUAUCUUGUGUACACACCGCCCGUCGCUCUCUUUUUUAAAAC
rnacentral:rRNA from 1 species